AGGUAAAUUUAGCCGACCCUAUUUUAAAAUCCUAAAUUUGUCCCUUUUGGUAAGUAAAUAGAGACUCCGCCGAAUAUACGAAGCUCAACAACUAUUUUAUUUUAAACUUUUUUUUUUUCAAUAGAAUGAUUAAACAUUGUAAUUUGGUUCUUGUCAAAUGAAAUAACAAAUACCAUUGUCUUCGCUAACGGGUUUGUGAUUUGUGAUGAAAAUGGUAAUGUUCAACUAGCUUGUCCUAGUAAAGUGGGUGCUACAUGUAACACCCGGACUCCAAAUUUAAUUCAUAUUUUAAAUUAUUUAAGUGAAUUUACGAAUUUACCCUUAGGGUAGGGGUAAAUAGGUCCUUUUCUUGCCCGGAAAGUGUUUGGGGGCAGUGAGUGGUAUUUUUGGGAAGAUUGUACUAAGACGAAUUCGUAGACACGCGGUAGGCUUAAUUCGGAGUUGUAACGAGGAAGUUAUGAUCAAAACAUCGACAAUGGCAAAAUCGUAAAUAUUUCAAAAUUUGGGUUUAAAAUAUCUGAUCUCUCUCGCUCUCUCUCCCGCAGUUGAACC
rnacentral:lncRNA from 1 species